CCUACGGGUGGCUGCAGUGGGGGAUAUUGCACAAUGGGGGAAACCCUGAUGCAGCGACGCCGCGUGAGUGAAGAAGCGUUUCGGCACGUAAAGCCCUAUCAGCAGGGAAGAAAAUGACGGUACCUGACCAAGAAGCCCCGGCUAACUACGUGCCAGCAGCCGCGGUAAUACGUAGGGGGCAAGCGUUAUCCGGAUUUACUGGGUGUAAAGGGGGCGCAGACGGCAGUGCAAGCCAGGAGUGAAAGGCCGGGGCCUAACCCCGGGACUGCUUUGGAAACUGUGCGGCUAGAGUACAGGAGAGGCAGGUGGAAUUCCUAGUGUAGCGGUGAAAUGCGUAGAUAUUAGGAGGAACACCGGUGGCGAAGGCGGCUUACUGGACUGUAACUGACGUUGAGGCUCGAAAGCGUGGGGAGCAAACAGGAUUAGAUACCCGGGUAGUC
rnacentral:rRNA from 1 species